ACAGACAGAGUGUCAGCCAGGGAUGCAGUCAUCUGAAGACUUGACUGGGGCUGGAGAACCUCCUCUCAAGGCAACUCCCGCACAAGCCUGGGAAGUUCAUUCUGGCUGUUGGCAAGGGGCUUCUGUUCCUUGCCAUGUGGACUGCUUGCCAUAGGCUGCUUGAGUGGCCUCAUCACAGACAUGGUGGUUGGCUUUCCCCCGACUUUCGCUGUGCCAAAAGGGGGAACUAUUUCUCCUGGAACAGAGUGGACAAAUGUGCAGCAGGUGAACAGAAUCAUAUUUGCUUCCAGCUGUUGCACCAGCUGUGUCAUGCUGACAGUGGCCUCCACCUGUCUAACUCCUGCUUCCACCAAUUCAGAACCAAGAUAUUUUUAUACUCAUAUCCUGGUAUAAACCAACUGCUGCUGGAAGUUCUUUGAUGCUGAAUUUGGAAUCAAAUACAUUCUACUUUCUGGAAAUCCACAUACUGGGUGGCUGCUUCAAUAGCAGCGAACACGAGAUGUAAAAUGCAGCAAUGGUCAAGGAAUUUCUCAGGGGAGGAAUCAAUCCUCUCAUUUUGGUGGAGGAACCUUGGAUACAGGGAGGAUGAGGGACUGACUCAAAGUCAUCUGGCAACUUAGAGGCGAGGCCAGAGCUCCUCAAAUCUAGCUCUGAAUCCAUGCUCUUUUUAUUGAGCCGGUCAUGACGUAACCCCCCAAAUGAGUGCAGCUUUUAAUCUCCCACAUCAAGGGGCCUGCUGGCUGCAGACUCAUGCAUACACAUCACGGUGGUUUCUGGGUGGUUGAUGCUCAUCACCCUCUGACUUCGUUUCUUUUUUCCUUUGCAAAAUGGCUAUUGCCCAGAGGCAGCAUCUCUUUUCUAAAAAGUGAACAUGCCAGAAGGGUUUUUGGAAACUGCCUUGCUAUCUGUCAGGAGCCAGAUGAUUCACAGGGAUGAACCAAUGCACAUAACAAGGAUACCUGAUUGGAUUACCAAUUAGCCAUCUCCACCUCUGCAGGGUGGUUGGAAAGAAGAGAAAAGGCAGUGUUUAGUUUGGGCAAAUACCAAAAGGACUUUAUCAUUCUCAAGGCAUCAGCGUGGCACAUUAGACCUCUUCCAAGCCAUUCCACUGGAACUUCUCUCUCCAAAUGCUCCAGCAAGAGUAAACUUGUUAUGCAAACAUUGGAUCAUUGUGUCUGAGCUACAGAAGCACCUCUGUGUCAGUGAAAGGGGAGAAACUGUCUGACUUGCGUCUGUUUUUAAUGAUGUCUCUGCUGCUGGGAAAAUUUGGAAGCUGCAGGACAUUAGAAAGGAUAUCGUGAACAGCCAUAUGAAGAGAUGGGCGAGGAUGUGCUGAGCUUCCGUGCCCUCCCUGGGCCUGCUGCCCUCCCACCUAGAAACGCUCAGCAACGCUGAAGCUUAUCAAUUCGUGGUCAACAGCUAAUAAAGAGCUUGAUCUCC